UUUGUGGGAGCACUGGUAUUGGGUCUUUAGUAGCAGCAUUCUUAAAAGGAGUGCUGGUAUUGGGUCUUUUGUACCAACGCUCUUUUUAGGAGCGCUAGUAUUAAGUCUUUAGCCUUUUUUCCCUUCCCUCCUUUUUUUUUUUUUUUUUUCCUCUAUUUUUUUCCCUCCAUUGAUUUUGGGCCCUAAACUACUUCGUUUUUGAGAGCCAAUUAACACUUUAUUCCCCUUUCCCAUUUCAUUUUGCAAUAACCCUAACACCUUCAGCCGCUCUCCCUCCUUCCAUCACAACUCUCUCUCCCUUCCAUCACCGGUCUCGCCCUUCCAUCACUGGUCAUCACAGCUCUUUCCUUCCAUCACCGGUCAUCACAGCUCUUUCUCCUUCAAUCACCGGUCAGCGUUCCAAAACUGGUGGCUAGGUUUAGAGAGACAAAGUCACAUACACACAGAGAAAGAGUCAUCGAUGGGGGUUUCCAAAACCUAGUCUACACUAACAGAUCGGACGAGAAUUUUUUUAGUAGGAAAGUUACAAAGCCCUAGCUUUAUUUCUGCAGAGUCGGUAGACGACUCUCUUCGUGAAAUCCCUAGCUCCUUGCCCCCCGACCACUGGACAUCACGAAAGCCUUGGAUAGCUCCUUGCCUCCUCCUUACAGCUUUCUAAAGUCUAAACAAGGGAAUCUGUUGAUCUGAAAGUUUAAUUUGACUUCUCAUCAUGCCCUAAUUUGGAACGGAAUCCUUUGGUACUACCAACAAUAUCGCAAUCCAUGGCAUGACAGACACAUUAGCUGAGCAUUUGUUGGUUCGUUAUGACAUUAUCAUGUGUAGAUGAAUCUUCGUGUCCAUCUUCUGUCACAAUUCAUUUUUCCACCAUUAAAAUGUCAGGUGAAAGGAUAAAGAAUAAGCUUACAAUGAAAUGAACGGGUAGUGAAGUGGAAAAAGUGAGUGAACAAAAAGGGGGUGACGUGCUACUGAUGCUGCUGCUUCGGAGAUGAUUGGUUCUGAUUCUUUAAAUGCUCCUCUUAGACCUCCAAAUUCGUUUUCUAGUCAUGAUGCCAAUUCAGUUAAGGGUAAUUCAAAUCAAAUGGGCAAGAAGACUUGUUGAAGUUGAAGUUGAAGUUGAAGCUGAAGAUGGGGGAGUGGAUGUGCUUUUUGAAUUUCUUUCGCCGUGGAUGGGUUCUUUUUGAAAAACUUGUACUACAUUUGUCAAAAUUCUUAAUUCUUUUUAUGUGACAUUUAGUAGCUUUAUCUAGACAAUUUGGAUUGUAUCUUCAUAUUGGCAGGUUAACUUGUGGUUGUAUAACAUUUUCGCUUUUUGGUUGACAUUUA